UACGAAGGGGGCUAGCGUUGCUCGGAAUCACUGGGGCGUAAAGGGUGCGUAGGCGGGUCUUUAAGUCAGGGGUGAAAUCCUGGAGCUCAACUCCAGAACUGCCUUUGAUACUGAAGAUCUUGAGUUCGGGAGAGGUGAGUGGAACUGCGAGUGUAGAGGUGAAAUUCGUAGAUAUUCGCAAGAACACCCGUGGCGAAAGCGGCUCUCUGGAACGGUACUGACGCUGAGACGCGAAAGCGUGGGGAGCGAACAGG
rnacentral:rRNA from 1 species